GUGCUCACUUCAGCAGCACAUAUACUAAAACUGGAAAAAUACAGAGAAGAUUAGCAUGGCCCCCUGCAUAAGGCUGGCAUGCAAAUUCAUGAAGGGCUCCAUAUAUAA
rnacentral:snRNA from 1 species